rnacentral:rRNA from 1 species
GAUGAACGCUGGCGGCAUGCCUAAUACAUGCAAGUCGAACGAGAGGAAGGAAAGCUUGCUUUUCUGAAUCUAGUGGCGAACGGGUGAGUAACACGUAGGUAACCUGCCCAUGUGCCCGGGAUAACUUCUGGAAACGGAUGCUAAAACCGGAUAGGUAGCAGACAAGCAUUUGACUGCUAUUAAAGUGGCUAAGGCCAUGAACAUGGAUGGACCUGCGGUGCAUUAGCUAGUUGGUGAGGUAACGGCCCACCAAGGCGACGAUGCGUAGCCGGCCUGAGAGGGCGGACGGCCACAUUGGGACUGAGACACGGCCCAAACUCCUACGGGAGGCAGCAGUAGGGAAUUUUCGUCAAUGGGGGGAACCCUGAACGAGCAAUGCCGCGUGAGUGAGGAAGGUCUUCGGAUCGUAAAGCUCUGUUGUAAGAGAAAAACGACAUUCAUAGGGAAUGAUGAGUGAGUGAUGGUAUCUUACCAGAAAGUCACGGCUAACUACGUGCCAGCCGCCGCUGUAAGAC